GCAGUGGUUGUAGUUUUCAGCGCCGGUCUGGUCCCCACCCCUUUUAAAUAAGUCGGGCUGGGCGCAGCCCUCACAGACUAGGCAACUCGGGGGAGGCGGUAGCAGCGCGGCGGCGGGGGGUGCGGCCGGGCCCGGAGCCCUGCCCGGGGCCCGGCGGCCCGGCGGCCGGGGCGGACAGCGGGCGAGGCCGAGCCUGCCUGCGCGGCGCAGCCUGGGGCUGCCGGUGCCGGCCGCGCCAUUGUUGGGGGAGGGGGCACUGCGGAGCGCGGCGGAGCCGGGGGUCGAACGGAGGCGGCGGCGGCGGCGGCGGCGGCGGCGGCGGCGGCGGCGAGGAGUGUCGACACCCCAUGGGGAACACUCUGACCUGUUGCGUGAAGCCCGAAGCCAGCCCCAGCAUGGGCCGGCGCUCGGGGCCGGCCGAGCCGGACUACGAGUCUGAGGUCUAUGAGGCGGCGGCGGGGGACGCGGUGGCGGUAGCGCCUUCGCCGGCUGCCCUGGAGCCCGCCGAGUUGGAUUUGGGCACCGGCGAGGGCCACCAUCUGCAGCACAUCAGCGACCGGGAGAUGCCGGACGAGUUAGCUUUGGAAUCAAACCCUUCUGACCAUCCAAGGGCAAGCACAAUUUUCUUGAAUAAAUCUCAAACGGAUGUGCGAGAAAAGAAGAAGAACAACUAUGUAAACCAUGUAUCUCCAGGGCACCUUACUAAAAAAUAUAGCUCAUGCUCAACUAUAUUUCUAGAUGACAGCACAGUCAGCCAGCCUAAUCUUAGAACCACAGUACAAUGUGUGACGUUAGCAAUAUAUUACCACAUAAAGAACAGAGAUGCAAAUAGAUCCUUGGAUAUUUUUGAUGAGAGAUCACAUCCACUCACACGAGAAACAGUUCCGGAGGAAUAUUUUAGGCAUGAUCCUGAACACAAAUUUAUUUACAGAUUUGUUCGGACUCUCUUCAGUGCUGCACAGCUAACAGCUGAAUGUGCUAUAGUGACUUUGGUUUACUUAGAAAGACUUUUAACUUAUGCCGAGAUUGACAUUUGUCCCACGAACUGGAAGAGAAUUGUUUUGGGAGCCGUUCUUCUUGCCUCCAAGGUUUGGGAUGACCAGGCUGUAUGGAAUGUGGACUACUGCCAGAUCCUCAAGGACAUUACCGUUGAGGACAUGAAUGAGAUGGAAAGGCAUUUUUUAGAGCUACUUCAGUUUAAUAUUAAUGUUCCUGCCAGUGUUUAUGCCAAAUACUACUUUGACCUUCGCUCCUUAGCUGAUGACAACGACCUGCCUUUUGUAUUUGCUCCUCUUAGCAGAGAAAGAGCCCAGAACCUAGAGGCCAUUUCCAGAUUGUGUGAAGACAAAGACCUGUGCAGAGCUGCUCUGAGAAGGUCUCUUAGUGCUGAUAAUUUUAUUGGUGUUCAGCGUUCUAAAGCUAUCCUCUCGUAAGGGAGAAGAGAGGGCUGGUAAUACCGUGAGCCCCUCCCUCAUCUACAAGGACUGGAGAAAUAUCACCUCUCCUGCUCAAAAACCAGCAAAAAGCUGCAUUCUCGAGUACAGAGCUACUUGGAAAAGCACUUGACAGCGAGCAGAGAAAUCUCCAGCAUUUCUCAAGAUGUCCCCAGACCACCUCUCAUCAACUGCAAGUGCCUAUGAAAGUUUCUCUAAAUGGAAUGUAGAAUCCUGGAUUGGAUCCUGAAUCUGAUGGAAAUUCUGGUAAAAUCCAAAUGGAGUCUGGAGAGUAAUGAACCAAUGUUGACUUGUUUUGACAAAUGUACUAUACUAUGUUAACAUUAGGGGGAAAUGGUAAGGAAGGAGUAUAUAGGAAUGUUGAAUCAUCUUUGCAACUAUUUUGUAAACCUAAAAAAAAAAAAGCAAGCAGCAGUUUCUUGGGCCCCAGACCCACCAAAUCUCAAUUCCUAGAGCUGAAGCCUAGGAAUUUAAAUUUUCAAUAGCCCCAAAUGAUUCUUACACAGACUCAAAUUUGGAAAUCUAGUGUUUCAAUUGCCUUUCCAUUUCUUGCCUGAACAGUGUCUUCUACCUUGCUUUACCUUGACCUUGCCUUACCUGAUUUAAUCCUUUAGAUCCUCUAAAUCCUAAGAUAUGAGUAUUAUUAUUAUCCUCCUUUCACAGAUGAGAAAACUGAAGUACUAACAGGUUAAAAUGUCCAGGAUCACACAGCCCUUAAAUGGUGGGACUGGGAUUAGAUUCCCUAGUUAGUCUAGCUCCCAAGUCUAUGCAUAUGAACAUGCUGCUGCCUCUCAAUCAUGUUUCCACCCAUGACAAACAGAAAAUCUCUAUAAUUAAAUCACUAAAGGAAGCAUUAUGACCAGUAAUCCUCUGGGCCCACCUAGUUCUCCAGCGUCUAAGUCCCAACGGUCCCUUUGCUCCAGCUUGUGACUUUGCCCUUUCCUCCCUUUCCAUCAGAGGAGGAGGGGAAUGAGCAAUGAGAAAGCAUUGGGAAGAGGUGCCAACUGGAGAGUCCUGUACAAGCAAGGUACAGAUACUCUUCCGUUAGAAUCCAGCUCAACUACCGUAUCCUCUCUCCUCCCAGUUGCCCUAACUUACGAACCAAUCUGAUCAUGUUCCCAGCACUCAUUUUGACAUUGAAUUAUAUAUACUCUUAUAUUGGACUUAUCUCCCCUAAACAACAUUAUAAGCUCCUAAUUACCUAUCUUCUCCCAUACUUAUGCCUCAGUGUGCUGGGAAACAGACAUACCAGGCAUUCGAAUGAGGUAGAUUGGUAGCUAAUCUGUACCUUGCCAAAAUAGCAAGUAAGAAAAUCUGACCACAGUAUCUCAGGUUUACAAAGCAGCAGCCCCGAUUAUCAGGAAGGUGCCAACUCUAACUCAACUCUUAUCUGGGUUUCCCGACUUAUAUUUAUGGCUUAAUAUCAAGUUGUGGUUCUAACUGGUGAAUGAUGGAAUAGUUUGGGGAGUUACUGCUCCCCAACCAGACCCAUAGAACAACAGCACAAACAUCGACUCAGAUAGGUUUGGCAUAGAGCAGAAAUUUUCAACUGGUGAGCCAUAAGAAUUGUUAAAGCAUUUACUACCUAUUUAGUAAGGGGCACUGACUUCUUUUCUAUUAGACUGUCAAAUAAAAAAAUGACAACAGCCAACUCAAUAGCUGUCUGGUGUCAAUACCCUCUCUUGAACCAUAAAUAUAUAUAGGUCAUAUAACAGAGUUGCAUCUUAUUGGUCAAAUUGAAUAAGGUUGCAUCUGAUUUGUUAAUUCUUGGUACCAGAAAUCCUUAUAUACAAGUAUAGGCAUCUGAUUUUUUAAAAAGUCAACUUUGGAGCAAAAAGGGUAGAUUAUUAUUAUGUUUGAUAAUCAAAGUUAUAUCUAUUUUUUUAUCAGAUUGGCAAAAUAUAUAUUUUUGGUGUGCCAAAAAUUUUAGUAAUUUAUGUGUGCCAUGAGAUAAAUCGCUGGUAUUACAGUAUAGAUGGAGGAUUGAUAAAACAGAACACAGUCUCAGGCAAUGUCUGUUCUGUGUAUUUCCCUUCAUUUCUUCAAGUGAGUCAUGAAAUAACAGGAUCAGCAGGAAAAACCCAUGAAAUAUAUUCAAGUAAAACAAGUUUCUAUUAGUUCUGUUUCUGGUGAUUGGAAUUUGCUUGAUUUUCUUAUUAAUAAAAACAUUACCACUUAUAUUUUAAGUACAUUUGAGAAAUCUGAUUAUGAAGUUAGAAUCCAUGUAUCUCCUCAGAUAUUCUUAGAAAGCAGUGUGUCUCCAUAGAAGCAUGAGGAGAAAAAGACUUGUACAGCAUCUCAUUUUCUUUACCAUUGCUUUAAUGCACUUUAAAAUUUAUCUACAUUAGUUGAGAACAAAGAAACAAAAAUAGACAUUUCUUUGUUUUUCAUAAAUAACUACUCUCCAUAUUUGAUAAAAAUCUCAAAGCAUUAUUUUACCUUCCCACAAAUAUAAUAUACACAAAAUUUUUCUGAAAUAAUAAGGUCAGCAAAUUAUCAUGAGACUAACAUAACCACAUACACAGCUGUUCUAUUGACUUCCAGGAUCAAAACAAACCAAAAAAAGGAACUCAAGAUGCUCUGGGUUUCCAUUUGUUAAUGCUAAUUAUAAUCAUCUGCCAAUAAUAACUUAUAGUUUCAAGUUGAUUGAUUGUCUACAAAUAAAAUAUCACUGGCUCUGA